AAACUAACUCAAAAAACUAAAGUCUACACUAAAAAACAGAAAUCAAAAACCGUCCAAACAAACAAUUUCAUUUUGGAAUUAUUUCAAUUUAGAACAAAUGGAGUUAACUUUUACCAAAAAAAAAACAAAUGGAGUUAAUGACGGGACCAGUCCACCAAAUGGAAUUUUGCAUUAUUGUAUACUGAGAAGAAAACAAUUCACUUGCCAUGUCGUAAAUGGCCUUGAAAAG
rnacentral:lncRNA from 1 species